GUGGUCACUUUGGCAGCACGUAUACCAAAAUUGAAAUGAUACGGAGAAGAUUAGCAUGGCCCCCGCACAAGGAUGACAAUUUUUUUCUUCUUUUUUUUUUUUUUUUU
ensembl:snRNA U6 U6 spliceosomal RNA